GCAGGUUGAAGCGCGGGUAAGACCGCGUGGAGGACCGAACCCACCUGGGUUGAAAACCGGGGGGAUGACCUGGGGCUAGGGGUGAAAGGCCAAUCAAAUUCCGUGAUAGCUGGUUCUCUCCGAAAUGCAUUUAGGUGCAGCGUCGGUUGAUUGCAUCGCGGGGGUAGAGCUACUGGAUGCUUGCGGGCCCGUAUGGGGUACCAAUAGCAGCCAAACUCCGAAUACCGUGGAUGUGUAUUCCGGCAGUGAGUCGGCGGGGGAUAAGCUCCGUCGUCGAGAGGGAGACAGCCCAGAUCGUCGUCUAAGGUCCCGAAGCGUGUGCUAAGUGGGAAAGGAUGUGGAGUCGCAUAGACAGCCAGGAGGUUGGCUCAGAAGCAGCCAUCCUUGAAAGAGUGCGUAACAGCUCACUGGUCUAGUGGUUCCGCGCCGACAAUGUAGCGGGGCUCAAGCACACCACCGAAGACGCGGCAGUAUUUUGUACUGGGUAGGAGAGCGUCCCAUGAGGGGCGAAGCGGCCGUGUGAACGCGCCGUGGACUUCAUGGGAGUGAGAAUGCAGACAUGAGUAGCGAGAGACGGGUGAGGAUCCCGUCCGCUGGAUGACCAAGGGUUCCGGGGCCACGUUCGUCGUCCCCGGGUGAGUCGGGUCCUAAGGCGAGGCCGACAGGCGUAGUCGAAUGGAUGAACGGGUGGAUAUUCCCGUACCGGCGGCGUACCGUAAGAGCCGAACGGAUGAGUACUGACCUCCGGUCGCGUGGCGUCGUUCCCUUCGGGGUUCGGGGCGCGUGGCUGUUGGGAGCGUAGUCCUGGUAGGCUAGCGCACAGGGGUGACACGGAAUGGGAGCCGGCCGCGGAGGUGGUUUUCCGUGGUCAAGCACGCAGCCCGUCCCAUAGGCAAAUCCGUGGGACGCAUAGGGUGAGGUGUGAUGAUGGGCGUCCUUUGGACGCGAUAUCCGGUGGUCCAGGCCGUCGAGAAAAGCCUCGGCGCGAGGGGCGUCGCCGCCCGUACCCCAAACCGACACUGGUGGUCAGGUAGAGAAUACCAAGGCGAUCGAGCGAAUCCUGGUCAAGGAACUCGGCAAAUCACUCCCGUGCCUUCGGUAUAAGGGAGACCCCCGGGCGUGAAGAGGCUUGCCCUCGGAGCGUUGGGGGGUGGCACAGACCAGGGGGUAGCGACUGUUUACCAAAAACACAGGUGCAUGCGAAGGCGCAAGCCGCUGUAUAUGCACUGACGCCUGCCCGGUGCCGGAAGGUUAAGAGGAUCCGUCAGCCCCUUUUGGGGUGAAGCGGUGAAUUCAAGCCCCGGUAAACGGCGGUGGUAACUAUAACCAUCCUAAGGUAGCGAAAUUCCUUGUCGGGUAAGUUCCGACCUGCACGAAUGGCGUAACGACUU
rnacentral:rRNA from 1 species